UGGAGAGGGAUGCAGGAGAGUCUAUGUCAACCGCAAUAGUAUCAAAAGGCCUUAAUUGCCUGGAUUUAUCAUUGAAGCACACACGAACAGCUCUAAAAACCGCAAGACUUACCCAAGAGUCUAGGUGAAUCUCUAACUCUAGCUUCACUUUCGAAGAGCUUAGGACAAUGGAGUUUGGUGACGAAGUAUACGGUUUAAUCGGGUCAGAAGCUCGGACCUUGACAUUACCGUGUCUAUUACCCAAGAGACUAGGUGAAUCUCUAACUCUAGCUUCACUUUCGAAGAGCUUAGGACAAUGGAGUUUGGUGACGAAGUAUACGGUUUAAUCGGGUCAGAAGCUCGGACCUUGACAUUACCGUGUCUAGGCCAACUUGUUG
rnacentral:lncRNA from 1 species